ensembl:lncRNA
AGUAUAUGGGCCCAUUGGUACAGAGUCUCCCUAUUGGCCGCCACUUCUUGUUAGGAUAAGACUCAAUCAAGCCCUUUAUAAGAAGAUAGAACACAAGUCUCACUUGCAAAAAGAGCUCAGGAGGAAAAUGCUCCUGAUCCACAGCACAUUUUCUCAGUCUGAUUACGAGGGGAACAAGAAACAAGAUAUCCCAAGGGUUUUUAUGGAUUAAUGGAAUCAUUUUCCUGUAGAAUACGUGCAUUGAUCUCUCUAAAAUCUCUUCUCUUUGCUUUAAAGCAGUUCUUUCAAAACAAUCUCUUCAAAGCUUUCAGUCUAUUAUUUCCUUUCUGCAGGCACCAUUGCUAACUAACAACAAACUGAGCAGAGCUUUCUAGCUUUUCAGCCAAUGAAAAGUCCCUUCGGAAACAGACUUAUUAUCUGCUAAUGGGAG